AUGCCUAUGACGAAUCCCAAAUAGGACGAAACGCAUGUCCUGAAU
rnacentral:hammerhead_ribozyme from 1 species